rnacentral:rRNA from 1 species
GCACAGAGUUAGCCGUCCCUUCCUCUGGGGUUGAUCAGAACUUUCUAACCCCUGACAGUGGUUUGCACCCCGAAGGGCUUCGUCCCACACGCGGCGUCGCUCCGUCAUACUUUCGUACAUUGCGGAAGAUUCGUUACUGCAGCCCCCCGUGGGAGUCUGGGCAGUGUCUCAGUCCCAAUGUGGCCGGCCAACCUCUCAGUCCGGCUACGCGUCGUCGCCUUGGUGAGCCGUUACCUCACCAACUAGCUGAUACGAAAUCGCCUGCUCCCAGACCGGCGGACCUUUGAGCACAAACAGAUGCCUGUUCGUGGUCUCAUCUGGUAUUACCUUUCCUUUCGGAAAGCUAUCCCAGAGUCCGGGGCACAUUAGCGAUUCAUUACUCACCCGUUCGCCACUGGGUAUUGCUACCCCGUGCGACUUGCAUGUCUUAGCCACGCCGCCAGCGUUCAGG